AUUGAACGCUGGCGGCAGGCCUAACACAUGCAAGUCGAGCGGAUGAGUGGAGCUUGCUCCAUGAUUCAGCGGCGGACGGGUGAGUAAUGCCUAGGAAUCUGCCUGGUAGUGGGGGACAACGUUUCGAAAGGAACGCUAAUACCGCAUACGUCCUACGGGAGAAAGUGGGGGAUCUUCGGACCUCACGCUAUCAGAUGAGCCUAGGUCGGAUUAGCUAGUUGGUGAGGUAAAGGCUCACAAGGCGACGAUCCGUAACUGGUCUGAGAGGAUGAUCAGUCACACUGGAACUGAGACACGGUCCAGACUCCUACGGGAGGCAGCAGUGGGGAAUAUUGGACAAUGGGCGAAAGCCUGAUCCAGCCAUGCCGCGUGUGUGAAGAAGGUCUUCGGAUUGUAAAGCACUUUAAGUUGGGAGGAAGGGCAGUAAGUUAAUACCUUGCUGUUUUGACGUUACCGACAGAAUAAGCACCGGCUAACUCUGUGCCAGCAGCCGCGGUAAAAC
rnacentral:rRNA from 1 species